AGGAGUUGGACAGAACACCAAGUGAAGUUUCAAAGAAACUUGAAGACAUCCGAACCAGAUACGCUUUCUAAUUGGAUGGUGUGUGUAUAUGCAUGAUAAUUCUGACAGUGGUGAAUAAGACCUGUACACAGGACUUUAAAUACAAUGAGACAGUGUACCCCACCCAAGAUGAAGAGGAGACAUCCACAGUGAUUGUUUGUAAAUGUACAAAUUUGACAUUUGUUAUAAAAUGUUCCUCAGUCAGCAGUCAAUGUUACAUGCACAUUCAAUAUCAUUUGACCAGAGUGUGUUUUUUACAUUGAUUUUUAUCAUAAUCAUGAAAAGCAACUUAUCAUUGUACAUUGACAGUCAUCAUUCAUGUCUGUUUGGAUAUUUUUUUUUAAAUAUACAUGUACCUGUAUUUAAUAUUUGUUCUCUGCGAUUGCAAUUUUUCUUGUUUGUUUAUUAUGCAAGUGUAGAAGAACAUCAAGAACCAGUUACUGAUUAUCUUCAGUCAAGAAUUGACAACUUUUCUCUGUCACUGACAAUUGAGCUAAAUUAUUUCAUAUUGCUGUUGUCUAAUUGUUUAAGUCCAUGAUCAGACUCUUGAUUAACUGGAAGUUGUAAAGUAAUAGCCAUAUGAGAAGAAUAAAUCAAUGAUUGACUU
rnacentral:misc_RNA from 1 species